ensembl:snoRNA SNORA70 Small nucleolar RNA SNORA70
GGGUAAUUUCUUAAGAAAAAGAGGUUUCCUCAUGGGGGCCCAGUGUGCAAUGGCUGCAAACAGCAGCUUCCCUGGUAGUGAUGCAGCCUGUUUGUUGUAUGGGUUGCUCUAAGGGACCUUGGAGACAGAC